rnacentral:RNase_P_RNA from 1 species
GGAGUAAACCAGAUGGUUGCGGGGACGCUUGCGUCAACGAGGAAAGUCCGAGCUUCGCAGGGCAGGGUGCCGGGUAACUCCCGGUGGAGGCGACUCUAAGGAUAGUGCAACAGAAAUAAACUGCCUUAUUUUAAGGCGAUGGUGGAAAGGUGAGGUAAGAGCUCACCGGCGCCCUGGCGACUAGGCGGCCAUGUAAACCCCACCCGAAGCAACACCGUGUUGGCUCGUUUGGGCUUAGUCGGCCCGAUUUGCCCAAACUUGGCGGUGGCUUGAACCGUAUAGUAAUAUGCGGUCUAGAUAGAUAAUCAUCAAAUACAAAACUCGGCUUAUAGGUUUGCUCUAAAU